rnacentral:tRNA from 1 species
GGGCGAUUAGCUCAGUUGGUAGAGCAACUCGUUUACACCGAGAAGGUCGGGGGUUCGAAUCCCUCAUCGCCCA